rnacentral:rRNA from 1 species
AACGAACGCUGGCGGCAUGCCUAACACAUGCAAGUCGAACGAGACCUUCGGGUCUAGUUGCGCACGGGUGCGUAACGCGUGGGAACCUGCCCUUAGGUUCGGAAUAACUCCCCGAAAGGGGUGCUAAUACCGGAUAAUGUCUUCGGACCAAAGAUUUAUCGCCUUUGGAUGGGCCCGCGUUGGAUUAGCUAGUUGGUAGGGUAAAAGCCUACCAAGGCGACGAUCCAUAGCUGGUCUCAGAGGAUGAUCAGCCACACUGGGAGUGAGACUCGGCCCAGACACUGACAGUAGGACGCGGCGGGGAAUCUUAGGGGAGGGGGGAGAGGGGGAUAUAGGAAUACCGGGGGAGGGAUGAUCCAGCUAGGCCGGGUGAGUGAUGAAGGUGGUAGAGAAGUAAAGCACUUUUACACGGGGUGAUACUGACGGUACCGGAAGAAUAAGCUCCGGCUAACUCCGUG